rnacentral:rRNA from 1 species
GAUGAACGCUGGCGGCCGUGCUUAACACAUGCAAGUCGAACGAUGAAAGCGGGAGCUUGCUCCUGCUGGAUUAGUGGCGAACGGGUGAGUAACACGUGAGUAACCUGCCCUUGACUCUGGGAUAAGCGUUGGAAACGACGUCUAAUACCGGAUACGACCUUCGGAGGCAUCUCCUGGGGUGGAAGAAUUCGGUCAAGGAUGGACUCGCGGCCUAUCAGCUAGUUGGUGAGGUAAUGGCUCACCAAGGCGACGACCGGGUAGCCGGCCUGAGAGGUGACCGGCCACACUGGGACUGAGACACGGCCCAGACUCCUACGGGAGGCAGCAGUGGGGAAUAUUGCACAAUGGGCGCAAGCCUGAUGCAGCAACGCCGCGUGAGGGACGACGGCC